rnacentral:lncRNA from 12 species
CGUGCAGGCGGCCGGGGCCCAGCAGGUGGGCGCCCGGCCGGCUCGGUUGGGGCGUGCCCGAGGGGGGGCGGCGUGGAGGGCGGCGCGGGCGCGGGCCCGGGCCGGGUGUUCCCCGCGCGCUGCGGGUCUGGCGCGCAGGCCUCCCGCCCGCGGUCGGCGCCGGCAGCGUGUGGCGCCCGGGAGGCGCUGCGCAGGGCCGGGCCCCGCCGCCGCCCCGUAACGUGCUCUGCACCAAACCCUUUCCGGGGCGGCCUCGGCCGUGUAACCUGUUAGGGCAUCGGCGCGCGGGCAGGGCCCUCCGCGGGGGCACCGCGGAGAGGUCGCCCGGAGGUGGUCCCCGGGCCGGGCCUGCCCGCGGCGCUCGGCCCGCUGCCGCCCCUCGCCUCUCGGCGCACGAGUGCGGAGGAGCCGGCGCGGCCGCCUCGUCGGGGCGGCGGCCAAUGGGCGCCCGGGCCCGCCCGAGAGCCGGGCCCCGGGGCGGCGGCCAAUGGGCGGCUCAGGAAUGCGGGCUGCGCUCGCCGCCGUCCCCGACAAAAAGCAGCCGCGGCCGGAGCGGGGGAGCGCGGCGGACACGUGCCGCGGGACCCCUGCGGGCGGCGGGCGGCGGGCGGCGCCGGCGCGGGGAGCCCCCGGGGAGCCCUUCCUCGCGCUCCGCCAGCGCACAAAGGGGGGCUCCCCGGCGGCGGGGCUGCGGCGGGGCCGAGCCGGCGGGCGCUGCCGAGCGGGCCGCGGGCGGACGGCGGGGGCUCUGCCCUGCCCCGCUUCGGCGCGUUUUGUUGUAUGCGUGGGCACACGUCGUCAAUAAAGGAAGGACGGCUGUUCCUCCCAAGUUCUUAGGGCACAGAUGCCACGAUAGAAGCUUGAGCCGUUCUGGAUUUGGACCUUCGAGGGCAGAAUGUUCCGAUUUGUUCGCGAUUUAG